rnacentral:rRNA from 1 species
AUAUCAUUAAGCGGUGGAAAAGAAACUAACAAGGAUUCCCCUAGUAACGGCGAGCGAACCGGGAAGAGCCCAACUUGAAAAUCUCCCUUUGGAGAAUUGUAGUCUAGAGAAGUACCCUCUGCAGCCGAGGUUGCCCAAGUUCCCUGGAAAGGGGCGUCAGAGAGGGUGAGAACCCCGUAGGCGACCUUUGAGCUGCUCCACGAGGUGCUUUCGCAGAGUCGGGUUGCUUGGGAAUGCAGCCCAAAUUGGGUGGUAAAUCCCAUCUAAGGCUAAAUAUUGGCGAGAGACCGAUAGCGCACAAGUA